GAUAAGUGGGAGCUUCGGCG
rnacentral:snRNA from 1 species